GCAACUGUGGAGAAAGGGCAGUCAUGCCUUGGGAAGAGGAAGGUGUAUUUUGGGGCUUCUGGGAACCGCCAUAGGAGGGCUCUGCUUUGGAGAGCAAUUUAUCCCCAGGAUUCCCAGGACUUCUGUGAGGCUUGAGGCAAUGGUGAGCUGCUGAGCUUUCUCCAUUGUUCCCCAAUAAGGUGUCCCAUCAAUAGUCUCUCUGGAGAACAUGGGCCCUCUGACUCUGGUCAUGAUACUGGGAGAAGAGAAAUCUGAGUUCAAGUCCCUGUUUCAGAGUGUGGAUUCAAACUUGGGUUUCCCGCAUCUGAGGUUUCUGGAGCAGGGAAGAGGAUGAGUGGUUUUCUUUACCAGGACAGACAAGAAAGAGUGAGCAGAUUCAUAUGCAAAGGGAUAUGCUUUGGGACAAAUCUAAACUAACAUUAGUACUUCAGACGUAAGAGAGAUCAUGCUCUCCAUUUUCUGCUCUUCAUUAGAACAGUCUCUCCAAUGCAAGCCACCUUCACCUGGCUCAUCAGCAUCAAGCUGUAUUGUACUCCUCCUCUUUAUAACACCAAAACCAAAGUUCUUCACUUAGUGUUUGGCUCCUGGUGAUUGCUCAGAAGUGGGAGUCAGAUACUUCAAAGCCUGACAGAACUCCUUUGUUUUUGCAUAUUUCUGAAUUAAGUAAAGAAAACAAUUAUUCAAAUUGUAUACGAGAAUCGUGUUGGAGACUAUCAUUCUUUAAUGCUUCUAAUUAUAUGUGUAGUAGUAAUAUUUCAAUUUUAAUCUAAAAGGAUUAUAUAUGAGUUUUAAUAUAUAGGUGCAAUGAAUAUGAAAUUUCAAUCUGUGUUUUUGUACCCCAAA